rnacentral:rRNA from 1 species
UACGUAGGGGGCAAGCGUUGUCCGGAAUCAUUGGGCGUAAAGCGCGUGUAGGCGGCCCGGUAAGUCCGCUGUGAAAGUCGGGGGCUCAACCCUCGAAUGCCGGUGGAUACUGUCGGGCUAGAGUGCGGGAGAGGCGAGUGGAAUUCCUGGUGUAGCGGUGAAAUGCGCAGAUAUCAGGAGGAACACCCGUAGCGAAGGCGGCACUCUGGGCCGAUACUGACACUGAGGAGCGAAAGCGUGGGGAGCGAACAGG